CCCUUAGAUGUUCUGGGCCGCACGCGCGCUACACUGACGGAGGCAGCGAGCGUGUCCUUCGCCGGCAGGUGCGGGCAAUCUUGCGAGUCUCCGUCGUGCUGGGGAUAGAUGGUUGCAAUUGUCGAUCUUGAACGAGGAAUUCUUAGUAAGCGCGAGUCAUCAGCUCGCGCUGAUUACGUCCCUGCCCUUUGUACACACCGCCCGUCGCUACUACAGAGUGCCCGUGUCCAAGAAACGGUCGGACCUGUGCGGCCUCUCCGGGCGACCGGAGGGCCGUUACGGGGAAGACCCUUUAUUUGACGCGGGUCGAUGAAGUAAAAGUCGUAACA
rnacentral:rRNA from 1 species